GACGAACCGCGUGGCGCGCGCCUAACGACAUGCAAGUCGAACGGAGCGAGAGGAGAGCUUGCUUUCUCAAGCGAGUGGCGAACGGGUGAGUAACGCGUGAGGAACCUGCCUCAAAGAGGGGGACAACAGUUGGAAACGACUGCUAAUACCGCAUAAGCCCACAGCUCGGCAUCGAGCAGAGGGAAAAGGAGUGAUCCGCUUUGAGAUGGCCUCGCGUCCGAUUAGCUGGUUGGUGAGGUAACGGCCCACCAAGGCAACGAUCGGUAGCCGGACUGAGAGGUUGAACGGCCACAUUGGGACUGAGACACGGCCCAG
rnacentral:rRNA from 1 species